GAUGAACGCUAGCGGCAGGCUUAACACAUGCAAGUCGAGGGGUAGAGGAAGCUUGCUUCCUUGAGACCGGCGCACGGGUGCGUAACGCGUAUACAAUCUACCUUUUACAGAGGGAUAGCCCCAGAGAAAUUUGGAUUAAUACCUCAUAGUAUUUUCGGAUCGCAUGAUUUGAUUAUUAAAGUUCCAACGGUAAAAGAUGAGUAUGCGUCCCAUUAGCUAGAUGGUAAGGUAACGGCUUACCAUGGCGAUGAUGGGUAGGGGUCCUGAGAGGGAGAUCCCCACACUGGUACUGAGACACGGACCAGACUCCUACGGGAGGCAGCAGUGAGGAAUAUUGGACAAUGGGCGCAAGCCUGAUCCAGCCAUGCCGCGUGCAGGAUGACGGUCCUAUGGAUUGUAAACUGCUUUGUACAGGAAGAAACACUACUUCGUGAAGUAGCUUGACGG
rnacentral:rRNA from 1 species